AUUGUUUCCAUCAUGGGAAAUCUAAGUGACGCUCUCAAAUUAACAGGAACAUUGCGCAGAAGAUAUGUCCUGGGCAAUGGACUGAGAAAACGGGCAGAGAUUUGGAGGUAUUUGUGCAUGCUCUAUAUUACAGUUGAAAAGUGUAUAACAGCUUUCCAAUGCUGUUACUUGUGGCGAACACCUUUUUGCUUGAGUUGAUGCGUGCCCACAGGUGGAAUAAUGUCACAUGUCACACACAUUUUCUGUUGUUUUGAUUUAUUUACUCAUUCAUCAUUUUAUGUGCGCACCUCUCCUAAUCAACCCACCCAUUAAAUAGACAGGCACAAUAGCACCAUCUGCUGGCACAAAAAAUACAUAACAAUAAACUGCAAAACCCCAAUCUGGCUCCUACAAAGUGUAUGUGACAAGAUGAUUAACGUUUGCUUUUGUUAAAUCAGGGCUUCCCCAGCCAGGACUUCGGCUCAGACUGUGGCAUAUUCAUGUUGAUGGUAGGUCAUAACGAGCUGUAAUGCACAAAUAUUGUAUCUACAAUAACUUUCCAACAUGGACUUUUUUUAAGUUAUCUCACAUGUUGUCUCAUAAUUUUUUUUUUUAAGUCUGCCAUGUACAUCGUUAUGGAGUCACAGUUUGACUACUCAGUUGUAAGUACUUUUCAACACGCAGUGUCAUCCUCAAGAUUGUAUUUUGUAUUGUGCACUAAAAUGAAAUACAAACAACAAUUUCAGCAUGACAUGCCUGUUUUGCGGCGAUGGUGGUGCCUGUUGCUCCUGGAGAACAAUUCUUUGAACAGGUAGACAGUUUAAGUAAACUAGAUGUCCUAAUUAACUGGAAGACAAUCAAUAUAUUGUACUUAAAGAUAUAUUGUCAUUACAGUUGUGGGAAAAUCUUUGCCCACUGGACCAAAGAAUGUCAAGAGCUCAUUGCUGGAAAGCAUACUCUGGUCUUCAGUCUAAAGAGGAAGGCAGAGCAGCAGGACAUAGAGGUUAGAAAAUUGCCUUCUAAAAACAGUAUUAUCUCAGUGGGAGCCCUUCAAAAUGCACACAGUUGUAUGGAUCAACAUUGUCUCGAUGUAUUUGGUAAUUGAUGUUACUUUUCAAAUUGCCUUGUCAAGGAAACCAUGACGCAGACGGCAUCGGAUGUCCAAAGAAUGUGCAUGGCAGAUGCAAUGCAAUUCUGUGUCUACCAGACAUCGAACAACACAGGAGAGAGGUGUGUUGCAGACUCAAUUUAAUAAAUGCAAUUAUCGGGGCCUAUUCAGUGAUUUUCCAUGAAGUGACCACUUUUACAUAUAGUUUAAAUGCACGAAUCAUGCGGGAAAAUGAUUUAUACAUUCAAAUGUGCUGCAGAGGUAUAAUCAAUUGGACAGCGUGUUUGUUUAAUAUUAUGUUUGUCUCUCAUUUGAUCAGAUUGCUUUACCCUGAGGUAAACUUCAUGAAAUGGGUCCAGUGCAAGACGUGCAGGGGCUGGCUGCAUCAGGAUUGUGCUGGGAUUGAAAUGGAGCCGUUUGACUGCGGGUGCGAGGACUCCAUUGAGCAUCCUCGGUAUAACAUAAUUUAUCAAGGAAACAUAGUAUCAGUCAAAAAUACGAGGCUCAAAGGAUGAAAAAAUGAGGGCUUGCUCUUUUUCUUAUUUCUCUGCAGGAUCAAGGAUGCUGUUGACAGUGGAGGAAUUCAUGCUGUCUUUUCUAAGACACAGAUCAAGGUUGCUUUUGAAUGCACUAUCAGUUGUUAAAGCCACCGUUUCUUUUUCAGAUGAUUACAUUUUUGUCUCUUGCUCUUUGGUUUCAGACGUUACAUGAUGAUCUACUUUAAGCGCUUUGAGGGUCUCUGAUAAAGCGCUAUAUGAAAUCUGAUGCAUUAUUAUUAUUAUUACUGUCUGGAAAGCUCCGCUCCAACCGAAUGUUCCUUUGGAGGAAUCCCGCCACCUCACUCCGACUAAAGCAGCACCUCAAGAUAAGGACAUUAAGUUGGAGUGAGCAGCGCGUAAGUAAAAAUGCCAUCCAUCAUGAGUAUUUUUACUCUCAGGGGUGUAACAUUUGAAAGGUGUUUACUUUGUGUGUUUUUCUUCAAUAGAUGUUCGAGCUCCUGCGGUUCAUUGAGGAGGCAACAACCAUUUCUAAAAAAAUAAAGAGAGGCGAGAUUCAUCUGCUUGAUUUCGUUUUUGAUGUCAUGCUCCCAGAGGUGAGUAGAUCAAACUAUAUAGCUUGCUUUGAAAAUUGAUGAUAUUGUUAAGAGGUUGUUCUUAUUCAUUUGGAAAGCUCAAGGACAACAAUUAACCCAUACUGCAUAACUUCAAUUGUUCACAUUAUUUGACUGUUUUUCAGCUUUUGAUCAAAGCACUUAAGGAGCAUGGCAUCACCCGGUUCAGAGCAGAGCUGAUGAUGGCCUGUGGCAACGUAUUUUAAGCCCCCCACCACACCGACGGCAGUGCUCUGAAUUUUGUAUAUAUAUAUAUUUUUUUACCUUUCACAAUUUUGUUUGGAAAACAUUAAAGAAAUCUUCAAAGCAGUUGUAUGACAAUUUCCCAUUUCUUUACACAGUCUGUAAUGAUAUCGCUAUUCAAUUGUUUUUGCUAUAUGGCUCUUCUGAACC
rnacentral:lncRNA from 1 species